UACAGAGGCCUCAAGCGUUUGUUCGGAUUCAUUGGGCGUAAAGGGUGCGUAGGCGGCGCGGUAAGUCGGGUGUGAAAUCUCGGAGCUUAACUCCGAAACUGCAUUCGAUACUGCCGUGCUUGAGGACUGGAGAGGAGACUGGAAUUUACGGUGUAGCGGUGAAAUGCGUAGAUAUCGUAAGGAAGACCAGUGGCGAAGGCGGGUCUCUGGACAGUUCCUGACGCUGAGGCACGAAGGUCAGGGGAGCAAACGGG
rnacentral:rRNA from 1 species